rnacentral:rRNA from 7 species
UCGACCUCAGAGCAGGUGAGAUUACC